rfam:Erinaceus europaeus unplaced genomic scaffold scaffold00090, whole genome shotgun sequence
UAAUGAAUCGAUGAGAAAUAAAAUAUUGAGUUGGUGAUAAUGAAGAGCAAAUAUCCAUCCAAAUACUGCUUUUACAAAAGCAGGAUUAAAGAGCAAAGUGAAGUGAAAAUAA